rnacentral:misc_RNA from 1 species
AAGUCGUAACAAGGUUUCCGUAGGUGAACCUGCGGAAGGAUCAUUAACACGUAUCCAAACGUUAAACCCCCCUGUGAACCUUCAGUGUACUCGUACGUCCGUUAGAAAAAGCAGCAAUCCCUGGUAAAUCAUCGCCGAACAGUUUUCGAUUCAGGGACGUCUGCAAGGAGCGUGCAUGUUGUGCGAAGCAAGUGGCCUGGCAUCCCCAAGCAGUUAGUGUCUGAAAGUGCAGUCACGAUCGUUGGCCCACACGGCCGACGACCGGGUCACUGGGCGCAAGCCCCCCUAUAACAAACGCUGCUAAUCGCGGCCGCGAUAAUACGCAGUCCACCAAAAACCGAACAACUGUUAACAAUGGAUAUCUUGGUUCUC